GAUGAGCGCUGGCGGCGUGCUUAACACAUGCAAGUCGAACGGUGAAGGCGGAGCUUGCUCUGCUGGAUCAGUGGCGAACGGGUGAGUAACACGUGAGCAAUCUGCCCCUGACUCUGGGAUAAGCGCUGGAAACGGCGUCUAAUACUGGAUACGAGCUGCGAAGGCAUCUUCAGCAGCUGGAAAGAAUUUCGGUCAGGGAUGAGCUCGCGGCCUAUCAGCUUGUUGGUGAGGUAAUGGCUCACCAAGGCGUCGACGGGUAGCCGGCCUGAGAGGGUGACCGGCCACACUGGGACUGAGACACGGCGCAGACUCCUACGGGAGGCAGCAGUGGGGAAUAUUGCACAAUGGGCGAAAGCCUGAUGCAGCAACGCCGCGUGAGGGACGACGGCCUUCGGGUUGUAAACCUCUUUUAGCAGGGAAGAAGCGAAAGUGACGGUACCUGCAGAAAAAGCGCCGGCUAACUACGUG
rnacentral:rRNA from 1 species